GGCGGCGCCUGACCAUGGGUGAGCGGUUGAAACCGGCGGUCUUGAAAACCGUUAGCCUCGAAAGGGGCUCGGGGGUUCGAAUCCCUCUCCCUCCGCCG
rnacentral:tRNA from 1 species